UACAGAGGGUGCAAGCGUUAAUCGGAAUUACUGGGCGUAAAGCGUGCGUAGACGGUUAUUUAAGUCAGGUGUGAAAGCCCCGGGCUCAACCUGGGAAUUGCAUUUGAGACUGAAUAGCUAGGGUGCGGAAGAGGGAAGCGGAAUUUCCGGUGUAGCGGUGAAAUGCGUAGAUAUCGGAAGGAACACCAGUGGCGAAAGCGGCUUCCUGGGUUGUUACUGACGCUGAGGUACGAAAGCGUGGGGAGCAAACGGG
rnacentral:rRNA from 1 species